rnacentral:rRNA from 1 species
AUUGAACGCUGGCGGCAGGCCUAACACAUGCAAGUCGAGCGGAUGAAGGGAGCUUGCUCCUGGAUUCAGCGGCGGACGGGUGAGUAAUGCCUAGGAAUCUGCCUGGUAGUGGGGGAUAACGUCCGGAAACGGGCGCUAAUACCGCAUACGUCCUGAGGGAGAAAGUGGGGGAUCUUCGGACCUCACGCUAUCAGAUGAGCCUAGGUCGGAUUAGCUAGUUGGUGGGGUAAAGGCCUACCAAGGCGACGAUCCGUAACUGGUCUGAGAGGAUGAUCAGUCACACUGGAACUGGGACACGGUCCAGAAUCCUACGGGAGGCAGCAGUGGGGAAUAUUGGACAAUGGGCGAAAGCCUGAUCCAGCCAUGCCGCGUGUGUGAAGAAGGUCUUCGGAUUGUAAAGCACUUUAAGUUGGGAGGAAGGGCAGUAAGUUAAUACCUUGCUGUUUUGACGUUACCAACAGAAUAAGCACCGGCUAACUUCGUG